AGCGAACGCUGGCGGCAGGCCUAACACAUGCAAGUCGAACGAACCUUUCGUGAGUAGUUGCGGACGGGUGAGUAACACGUGGGAACGUGCCUUUAUGUUCGGAAUAACUCAUUUAAACGUGGGCUAAUACCGGAUGUGCCCUUCUGGUGAAAGAUUUAUCGCCUUUAGAGCGGCCCGCGUCUGAUUAGCUAUUUGGUUUAGGUAAUGGCUCACCAAGGCUACAAUCAUUAGCUGGUCUGAGAGGAUGAUCAGCCACAUCGGGACUGAGACACGGCGCAAAAUACUACGGGAGGGAGCAGUGGGGAAUCUUGCGCAAUGGGCGAAAGGCUGACGCAGCCAUGCCGGGUGAAUGAUGAAGGUGUUAGGAUUGUAAAAUUCUUUCACCGGGGACGAUACUGACGGUACCCGGAGAAGAAGCCCCGGCUAACUUCGUG
rnacentral:rRNA from 1 species